UACGUAGGGUGCGAGCGUUGUCCGGAUUUAUUGGGCGUAAAGAGCUCGUAGGCGGUCUGUCGCGUCGGAUGUGAAAACCCAGGGCUCAACCCUGGGCCUGCAUUCGAUACGGGCAGACUAGAGUACGGCAGGGGAGACUGGAAUUCCUGGUGUAGCGGUGAAAUGCGCAGAUAUCAGGAGGAACACCGGUGGCGAAGGCGGGUCUCUGGGCCGUUACUGACGCUGAGGAGCGAAAGCGUGGGGAGCGAACAGG
rnacentral:rRNA from 1 species